CACAUGGAACAAGUCCUGAUUUUACACAGUGAAGUAAGUGCAAAGCAAAAGCACAUGGAAGAAAUGCAGAUAUGCAGAUGGAACUUACAGACCUUCCGUCUUUAUUUCAUUACAAACUGCCAGUUAAAAUCAUUCCUGGAUCUGGAAUUGCUGGUGAAAAGUUAUAUAUGGUGAGUGACAGCCCAGAACGUGCAGUCCAUUUUAUUUAUAUUUAAUUAGAGGGAAAAAAAUGAAAGAGAAAAGGGAAAAGGCACGAGAACAGAAGGCUAAAGAAAUAGGAGCUGAAAAAAAAAAAAAAAAAGAAGAAGAAAGGAAGAAAAAAGCAGGGACAUUUCUGAUGUCAUUCUCCAGCAAUUAAUCACAGAUUAGUAAAAAGUUCAAGCACAGAACCUGCAGCCUUAUCUUGGUUUCUAAGUCUCAGUGUGAUCUACAGAACAGCCCACUUAGGAGAAAAUGCAUUCACCUCCUGGCUGACUCAUCCUCAGACAUUUGCCUUUCGCCCUUAUUUGUAUUUCUGCUACUACGGAACCUCUGCUGCUCUGCCAAAAGCACCUUUGCAGGAUUCGCCAAUCCCUUUUUUCUGCAGCAGGAGCAGCGAGAGACCUGCUGCACUGCCCCCCUGCAAGAACAAAUCCUCCACCUGUGAUUUCUUAAAAUGUUUUCUUUGGGAAGAGGAUGACGAAAUUAUAUUCUCUCAGUUUACUUCCAGAAAUCAGAAAGUUUGCUAACUUAGGCUGAGUUACAUCUACUUUUAUUUAUUCCAUCUAGGGAUAGGUAUUCCUCUGAUACUCUACAGGCAAAGAUUAGGAUAAGGCACAUCACUACAGACAUUGGGAAGCUCCAUUUUUGGUGACUGUGCACUGUGCAGCUGAACUGAUUGCAUGAAGAAACUACAGUGAUUUCCUGUGAGCUGCAGAUCCUGUUCACAUUGCUGGCUCCACAAGCCUACAAGCCCCAGUGCAGUGCACAGGCACACACUGUCUCACAUUAUUUGAACUGAUGCAACUCCCUCAGUAAAAUAAAAUAAAAUAAAAUUUAUAAAACGAAGCAACCAAGUUCUCGUGAUUUUCCUAAUUCCAUUUUGAGUUUUACAUUAUUAUUUUAUGUAAAAGAGCAGUUCCAACAAGAUACUAAUGAGGAUAAGACGGCAUCAUCAGGAUAGCAUGUCUUUUCAGAAUCAGAAAGAGUGAGCUAAGAAACAGAAAUGAGCUGGAACUUACCAGUAGUUAAGUGUGAGACGAGGAUCUUUGAGCAACAACAAGGAGGAAGAGGAAACAACAGAAGAAGGAGAUGAAUGCCAGUGGACUGAUUGAUGGCAGGAUUACUGUAGCCCACCAGACAGUGUGAUCCUAUAAAUGACAAAAAUGAUCACGAGGACAAUAAGGUGUUGGCAAAGCAAAGGGAGAAUUAGGGCCUUUCUACAAGGCCCUGUGCACUUCACCUGAAAUCCUUUAGUCAUCUGUGUCUGUCACAUUCAGACAAAGUCAAAUUGGGAUAGGUGCAGAGGAAGGCUGCGAUGUUAAGCAGUUUAAGUUAUGAGUGAGCUGCUUUAUGAGAUUAAGAGCCUGCUAAAUAAAGCCAGUCUUCUAUCCUACAGCGCGUCCAAAGCCAUGGGGGUACUCUCAUAGCCUACGAAUGCUCCCCAUUAGCACCAAGUCCCACUUCAGUGGGAGGCAGAUUUUUCUUCAAUAGCCUUAGGAGAGACCAUGUACCCUCUCCUGCAUGAUGACUCUAAGAGGUGGCAGCAAAAAGUGCCUCAAGUAGAAGUACCCCAAGCCUUAGCUCAUCAGGAACAGAGGAAGCUCAGAUUCAGCCUUCCCUGCUGCUCCUGCAGAUUUCUGCUGCUCUCCCUUUGCUUCCCAGAACAAACACAUCACUAAAGGUCAUGUUUCUCAUCAGGGACUGCAAGUUCCUGCACAGGUUGUGCCCCGGGCAGAGCUGCAGCGCAGCACCCCAUGUCCUCACCCGCUCUCACCUCCCUGCAAGGAGGCCAGCGUAAUUGGGUUCCUAUUUUUUGCUCUUGCUACAGAACGCCUGAAAAGGAAAAAAAUCUCUUCUAGGAGAAAACAGGUUUGAAAGAAAAGAAAUAUACCCUGAGCCUACUGAGCUCAGUGACUAUAGUGAUAUACCCCCUACACAUGUUUGGACACUUAAAGGAGGUGCUCCAAGUCUUCCUCCUGGUGUACGUGUGCUCUGUAUAGACACUGGUCUUCCACAGCCCUCUGUGUGGAAUCCCUGCAGUGCAGAGCUUCAGACAGAAGCGUGCUGUCCCAGCGCUGACUGUGAUGAGUGAGGCAGAGACGUACCCAAGGGAGGCAUGGGGCAGGAAAUUCAUGCUUGAAAUCUCUGUAGGCUAAAAAAGCGUACUCGGCCUGGUUAGAAAUCUGAGUUCCCAGUGCAGGCUGAAGAAAGCAAUGCCUUCACGACACAGCAGAAAGCCGUCCUGCCCCGAGGCUCUUCCUGAUGGAGCAGCAUCCCUACCCAUCGCCUGGUGCUCUGCGAGGGCUUCCAAUCGGAUCUGGCGGCUUUGUUCUGCUCGAUAGCGCCGUAAUGGGUCGUUUCUCCGACCUGCGCCGCGUGGGUAACAGAGGGGUCACGGAGGCUCCCACGUUAAGUCACCGGGGGUAGGAAUGAGACUCUAGAAGGCAGCUACACUGUUGCCAUUGAAGCCUGCUAGCCAGAGCUUCGCCAGCAGAGCUCAUUCGCUGGACUUCUUCCCCAGAGCACGUUUUUAUUCUCUUGUCGGCUUUUUGCUGCGUGUCUCUGUCUUUUUACGAGCAGCGCUGCAGGCUGUGCCCGUGACACUGCCUUCCAGCACCGCUCCUUCCGUCCGCACGGCUGCUCCGCGCACAUCUGCCUGCACUGAGCGUCGGGGGACGGAUUCCUUUCAGCUCCGUCCCUCCGAGAAACAACAUUUUGCCUUCUACUGCCCUGAGAUGAAUGAACUACAGAUUACUCCCACCAAGUUGUACUGAAACACUCUUGUAAUGAUACAAAAUACUACAAAAUACUGCACUGAAAGAAACCGGCCAGGCGCCAUGUAUACCAAUUCAAGCAUGGAGAAAUGGAGGCUGCUCACCAGUGGCUGGGUCUGCAAGAGACACAGCGCUGAUGCUGGCAAGUUUCAUAGUAAUGACUACUACAGACAGCUCUGGGUAGAUUUGGUAGUGGAUAACAGGUCACCACAUAAUUCCUUCUCCAGUAGGGAUCGUCUAGAUGAAAUAAAUAAGGAGUGAAGCUGCAUAUGGUUGCAAGAACAAUUUUCGGGUACCAUGGAUCAUGGAUCUCUCAUUUUUUUUUCUGGAUAUUCAAAACAAAACAAAACAAAACAAACAAAAAAAACACCAACCAAACAACAACAAAAAACAAAAACAAAAACAAAACAAAACAAAAAAAACGGAGGCUCUGAAAGCACCCCAGCCCCCCUGCUUCUCUCCUUAACUUCCUUAUGUCCUCAGCUGCAGUUAGGACUCUCCGGGGAGAACUUGUAUUCACUUAAUGCAGACUUGACUCAGCAAAAUGCGAUGAGGCACUGGCCAGACACUCGGUGAGUCCAUUUCAGAGAGCUAUGAGGGAACAGCCCUCUCUUCCUCCUCCUUAGGUGCCCCUGCAGAUUCCUGCUCCAGAAUUGGCUGGAUAACGGUACCAUUGGGUGAGUAGGGAACGCUCCCAGAGAUGGGUGAGCUGCUUGCACGCAGAGCAGCUGACAGCCGGCUGCACGUCUGCUGCUCAGUAAAGACACGGUUGCAGCCUGACAGAGCAGCACUGAAAAUUUCAUAAUGGAAAAUGAUAACAAGGAGAUUGCCUUCAGCCUUGGGGAAUGUGAUCUAAUCCCAAAUGGGGGAGGCAUGCAGACAAACCUGACGCUCUUCUGCACAAACCUUAACCCUUAAGAUAUUAAGAUAUUUGGAUACAUAUCUUAACAGAUCUUAAGCUUUGUGGGUUAUUCUUAUUAUAUUUUAUGUUUAAUUAUUUUAUUAUUAAAUUGCUACUCAUUAUUUUGUGCAUAACGCUAAGCCAGUAAUUUCUUAAACUCUUUGGCUCUCUUCAGACAGGAAGGUUACGCUCACUUAGCAUCUAACACAGGAGUUUAGCUUUCAGCUGAUAGUACUUUGCAUCUUACUUCAAUAUGUUCUGAUUAAAUAUGGCAAGUUGAAAUAUUCCUUCUAAUACUGGAAUUAUGUUUUUCUUAUAAAAGGAUCCCAGGCGGCCAAGUAACAGAACAGAGGUCUCUGGCAGUGAAAUGAAUACUAAUUCAAAAACUGAAGAGUACUGUUUCUAAAUGGGAAAGAUUCAGAAAUGAUUGCAGUGUAUCGUCCUGAAACAUAUAUUCUCAGGUUCCAGAUCAAUGACCAGAUAUUAAUUAAUCCCUAUGUUUUCUUUUGAGCUCAUAUCAGCUGGGAGGAAGUGCUUCAUAUGGUCUGGCCACACUGUCCAAGGAACACUGGAUCCCCUCAGAGAAGCAUGACCCUUCCCAUGACUUCUUGGAAAUGGUGGAUCUCUGUAAUGAAACUGCACAUUUACCUUUUAUAUACCAUCUAGGAAAACACAGCAAAAGCCAUAUGGCUCAAGAAGACAUCUCCUAUAAUUAGAUAUCACUUAGCACGGUACCUAAUUGUACGGAUGCAGAGCCUACAUCUGUUGGAACUGGGCGUAGCAUGAAAUGUCAAAUGCAGAUUUAGAUGCGAGUAGGACUGCAAAGGGGAAAUUAAGCAUCUUUGACAUUCUUUUAAUUGAGAGAGAAAGAACUUUCUGAUGAGUUUGUGAAGAUUCUGAUGGGGAAGAGCAAAAGGUUUGAAGAAAUCUGAAUCUUUUCCCAGCAGGAAGGUGGAAUAAAAAGUACUUGGAGUACUUGUUACCUAUCUCCCCAUAUCACUCCCCCACAGAGCAGCAGAUUUCUACUCCUAGCUGGUAAAUAUAUUUUUAGUAGAUGCUGUUGGAACAAGAAAGUCCAAAUGAAUCCUCAAAUACUUUUCUUGGUUAAGGAAUUUCCCAUGUUGUGAUCUUGGCUAUUCUCUCAAAACAUUUGGGAAGCCAGCUCUGAUGAAUUAAAAGCAUCUGACCUGAUGUAUGACAUUCUAUAUACUCUAUGUCAAUUAAGUAAAAAAUUAAGUCAAACUUAAGCAUCUACCUGAAGCUGUCUGCCAUGGAAAUUCUUUGUUGUCGUCAUAGUAGGGAUUUGCAUAAGCUGUAUGGCUUGGAUUUAUUUUGAAUAAAGAGGAAAGAAGAACUAAGAGAUCACUGAGUACACAUCUUCUGAAAGCACAGAAUGAGAUGGGGAAACCCAUGAUGCUGACUGGACUGAUGUCAAGAACAGGAGAACCUACGUGAGAUGCCUGCAAGGUGUACAGCUGUAGGUGCCUCACGCUCUGCUGACAAGAUCCCUACCAGCUCCAAAGGCAGACUGAAGUGACUGUAGAGGGCUUUACAUGUGAGCUGGAGGCAGGCACCACUGGAAAGAGUCUGGCUCCAUUGCCUUUGCAUCCUCCCCUCCAGUAUUUAUGGACAUUGGUAAGAUCUUCCCCCCCACUUCCUUCUGGUCACCCCUGCACCUUUCUAGCUCUUCACCUGACCUAACCUGCAGAGCACCUGCAGAGCUUCAAGCAACGCUGUUCUCUACCUGUCCCCCACCUGGUUUGGGGCAUGCAGAAGAUGUCUUGGAAAUGCUGGGUGUAAUUCAUCUUUCAUCUGGAAGCACAGUAGUCACUGAGUUCCUCUAGGAUAUUAAAACCCAAGGUUCAAUUCUAUCCUCUCGUCAAAGAAAGUUGAAUCAUCAGCACUCAUAAGCUGAUUCACCUCCCUAAAGACAAUGAAUGCUAUUUGUUUUCUAUAUCAUAAUUUAAAAUAGUCAUUGAACUGGAGAAAGAUUGUUUUAUAGCCCAGUGGCCAGAACAUUCAUCCAAGGGGUGAGAGGAGCAGAGGGUAUUUCAUAGUACUUCUCUUGAGAUGACGCAGUCCUUGUCCUUCCUUUACUUACACUGUCAGACCACACCAAUAUGCGAGUACGAGAGUUCUUCAGAACUCCUCAGGCCCAGUGACAAAGGAUAUUGUCUGCCAUGGACAUUUCCAUUCAAACAAUAAGAAGGAUCUGAUAAAGGGAAUUUUCAAACCUCUGGGGUCUCGGAAACCACAGGACCACCUCUGCAUGCUCUGAUCUAAGCUUUUAAUACUUGGGUUACACAAACGUUUUCAAUUUGAUUCCGUAUAGAAUCGUUUAGCUUUUUAUUUCCAUGAGGGAAAAAAACAUAAUUAUUUGGAUGGAUCUGAACUACUUUUUUCCGUGUUUGAUUUUGCAACCAAAAAAUUCCUGAUAUGCAUAACACAUGAGAACUAUAAUUGCUUUCCAAUUCCUUAUCAGCACAUGAUCAUCCUCGCACUGAAACGCUACUCCCAGCUCCAGUACACCAACCUCCAACAUCUUUACACUAGGUUUUACACAGCUCUAAUGUGCCAAGGAUUUGAUCUGUGCAUUUGACUUUCAAUUAUAAUACUGUCCAUUGUAACACCAUAUGUCUGUAUCUACCAGACUGACCCUUAUGUUGCCAAAUAUGAGAAUCAGACCGAUUAAGUUGAGCUCACCAAUGCUUCAGCUCAAACUUCAGAGAGAAACUACUACAGUAUCUGUAUUUCUUCUUAUAGUAUUGAAUGACAAUUUGUUGAGAGCUUGUAAGCAAAAUUAGACUUCUACUUAUAUUCAUCGGCUUGAUUUAGUAGACUUAAUAUAUAUUCUCUUCUGGUUUCCUUUAUGUUAGUUCUGUAUAUUCAGAAUACAUGUUGCAAGCUCCAAAACCAUUACAGCUCCAAAACAACAGCUUCCCUGUAUGUACUGGUAAACAAUCCCUGCAGAAGUACUGCAUGCUUUGCAGUGACAAAAAAACAAAUGACAAACAAGACAUAACAGGUGAAUGGCAUCCAACAUUACCAUGCAUUAAAAAAGUGCAUGUAUAUAAGUAAGAAGAGAAUGCACUAAUAUAAUUAAGAAAUGGUCUUUUAACUUGGGAUUUAAAGAGCAGAGCGGGCCAGCUGUACAGAUAGCAAAAUGAAGAAGAGAACUCCACACGAGAGCCAAAUGAGCAAUCACACAAACCUGCGAGGCAGCAAACUGCACAGGGGGUGGGGAGCAGAACUAAAUCAGAAACAGAGAGUAUGUUGCAGAAGGAAAUAAACGUGAACCAUAUGGAAGAAUAUUCACAACACAUUAGUGUUUAAUUAGAUAAUAUAAUGGAUAAGGACACUUCUGCAGCGUCAUCAUAAACAAAGAUGAAUGGAAAAUGUGCUACUAAUAAAAACGGGUAAUGCAACUGCACUACAACUGUAAUUUGAUCAGUCACAAAUUUAAAAUAAAAAUAAUAUUUUGAUAUGAUAUUUUGCUACUGCAUCUAGUCGUAGAAAAGGAAGCACAGAAGCAGACAUUCUCAUCUGAGGUUCCAGAUACUUCAAAAGCAGAGCAAAAAAGUCCCCACAACUGCUUGCAAUCUGACCCUUGCACCCAGACUGGCAUCCCCAUGUCAUUGUGAACACACACAGGGCGCCUUUUGGAGAAAAAGCAUGGAACGGCCCUUCCAAUUUUCUUCCUCUUCUAAACUAUGACUUAACUGCGUGAAGGCUCUAAAAGAGAGAUAACAUCUGAAGUUAAUAUUAGCAUAGGAAAAUGAACCUGGAGGCCCUAGAUUUGUUUUCGUGCAUUUACUUUAUACGGCAUGCCAAGCUGACAUAGGUAACAGCACAGGUUAAUUGCUUCUGAGAGAAUAACAGAAGGCAACAAAUAGAGCAAAAGGAGAGUGAGAGAAACAAAAUGUUUUUUGAAGGCCUUUGUGAUCUUAACAAACACUUCUGAACAAGGAUGAUUUCUGAAAAGUCAGUCGCAUGCAUGCAAGUCAUCAUAGCUAUAUAUAGCUGCACACACACUGAUGUUUGGUGGCAGCUUACAUCCUUAUGUCUCUCAAGCAGGAUCAGUCUUUUCAAGUUGUGCAUGUCAAGAUGAUUUAUUAGCAGUCAGAGCUUCAAGCUUUAAAUGAAUAAA